CAGUAGCCGCGGGAAUACGUAGGGUGCGAGCGUUAAUCGGAAUUACUGGGCGUAAAGCGUGCGCAGGCGGUUCGUUAAGACAGAUGUGAAAUCCCCGGGCUUAACCUGGGAACUGCAUUUGUGACUGACGGGCUAGAGUAUGGCAGAGGGGGGUAGAAUUCCACGUGUAGCAGUGAAAUGCGUAGAGAUGUGGAGGAAUACCGAUGGCGAAGGCAGCCCCCUGGGCCAAUACUGACGCUCAUGCACGAAAGCGUGGGGAGCAAACAGGAUUAGAUACCCCAGUAGUCCCUGUCUCUUAUAA
rnacentral:rRNA from 1 species